rnacentral:rRNA from 1 species
UACGUAGGGUGCGAGCGUUAAUCGGAAUUACUGGGCGUAAAGCGUGCGCAGGCGGUUCGUUGUGUCGGUGGUGAAAGCCCCGGGCUUAACCUGGGAAUGGCCAUGGAAACUGGCGAACUGGAGUGUGGCAGAGGGGGGUGGAAUUCCUGGUGUAGCGGUGAAAUGCGCAGAUAUCAGGAAGAACACCCGUGGCGAAAGCGGCUCUCUGGAACGGUACUGACACUGAGACGCGAAAGCGUGGGGAGCGAACAGG